GGCCAAGUCUCGCCGCCAGGCACUUCUGAGACCUCGGGCAGCUGGAAGCACGGUUCCGGGAGGCGUCCGCGUGGUCCCUAAAGGGAGAGGUCGUGAUCCUUCUACCAUUCUGACCGUUUCAGAAUCCGGAGUAGCAAUUAAGAUGGACAAGUCUUCGUUGACACUCUCUUUGGGGUCCAGCAUAGCAGAGAAGGAAGACAACUCACCGCGAAUGUAUAGUUGUUUCUCCUCACAAGAGAGUAAGGAGACUUUUUAAAGAAGUGGAUUAUCACAAAUUAGGAAAAGUAAAGGGCCCUACUUCUUCUAGAAUCUAUACCAAAAAUCAUGAAAAUUAAGCCACUCUGCUGCUGAGUACUGUGUGGACAAAAUUAAAGGGCUAUCCUGCUGUGCACCUCCAGGAAGUGUCACUGGCACUGCGGUCUACGUAAAAGGAACUCCUCAACUUAAGUAGCAAAUGAUGAGCAGCCCAGUAUUGAAGACUUGCUUAUACAGAUGUCUAAACACGUCUAAGAUACUGCAGAAAUGCUAAACAUCCAGGCCUGGGAAGCUGCCGGUCACCCUGUACACACUGGCUGGAAACAGAAAGGAAAUAGGACGUGAGGGAAACGAACACGACUUCCUCCCGCGAAUCUCCAUAGCCUUCCCAAACAGCACCACCAACUGGGGAGAAGGGGUCGAAGCACAUGCCCCUGUGAAGGAAGUUCACAGUGAAAUCGCUGUGGCUCUCAAUACUUGAAGCAUUCCCGGGGCGGUUACAAUCUAACCAUUCUCUGUCUUUAUUGCCUGUAAUUUGGCGUGAGCCGCAACCCUCUGGUGCUCCUCCAACACAUUACUAAGGAACUGCUGCAACUAGAAGGACAGAGACGAUUGAUCAGUACCACCACGCUGCUCAAUGGCACAAAGU